rnacentral:rRNA from 1 species
AUGAACGCUGGCGGCGUGCUUAACACAUGCAAGUCGAGCGAUGAAGUUUCCUUCGGGAAACGGAUUAGCGGCGGACGGGUGAGUAACACGUGGGUAACCUGCCUCAUAGAGUGGAAUAGCCUUCCGAAAGGAAGAUUAAUACCGCAUAACGUUGAAAGAUGGCAUCAUCAUUCAACCAAAGGAGCAAUCCGCUAUGAGAUGGACCCGCGGCGCAUUAGCUAGUUGGUGGGGUAACGGCCCACCAAGGCGACGAUGCGUAGCCGACCUGAGAGGGUGAUCGGCCACAUUGGGACUGAGACACGGCCCAGACUCCUACGGGAGGCAGCAGUGGGGAAUAUUGCACAAUGGGGGAAACCCUGAUGCAGCAACGCCGCGUGAGUGAUGAAGGUUUUCGGAUCGUAAAGCUCUGUCUUUGGGGAAGAUAAUGACGGUACCCAAGGAGGAAGCCACGGCUAACUACGUGCCAGCAGCCGCGGUAAUACGUAGGUGGCGAGCGUUAUCCGGAUUUACUGGGCGUAAAGGGAGCGUAGGCGGAUGAUUAAGUGGGAUGUGAAAUACCCGGGCUCAACUUGGGUGCUGCAUUCCAAACUGGUUAUCUAGAGUGCAGGAGAGGAGAGUGGAAUUCCUAGUGUAGCGGUGAAAUGCGUAGAGAUUAGGAAGAACACCAGUGGCGAAGGCGACUCUCUGGACUGUAACUGACGCUGAGGCUCGAAAAGCGUGGGGAGCAAACAGGAUUAGAUACCCUGGUAGUUCACGCCGUAAACGGGGAAUAUUAGGUGUGGGGGUUUCAACACCUCCGUGCCGCCGCUAAGGCAUUAAGUAUUCCGCCUGGGGGAGUACGGUCGCAAGAUUAAAACUCAAAGGAAUGGACGGGGACCCGCACAAGUAGCGGAGCAUGUGGUUUAAUUCGAAGCAACGCGAAGAACCUUACCUACACUUGACAUCCCUUGCAUUACUCUUAAUCGAGGAAAUCCCUUCGGGGACAAGGUGACAGGUGGUGCAUGGUUGUCGUCAGCUCGUGUCGUGAGAUGUUGGGUUAAGUCCCGCAACGAGCGCAACCCUUGUCGUUAGUUACUACCAUUAAGUUGAGGACUCUAGCGAGACUGCCUGGGUUAACCAGGAGGAAGGUGGGGAUGACGUCAAAUCAUCAUGCCCCUUAUGUGUAGGGCUACACACGUGCUACAAUGGCUGGUACAGAGAGAUGCAAUACCGCGAGGUGGAGCCAAACUUAAAAACCAGUCUCAGUUCGGAUUGUAGGCUGAAACUCGCCUACAUGAAGCUGGAGUUACUAGUAAUCGCGAAUCAGAAUGUCGCGGUGAAUACGUUCCCGGGUCUUGUACACACCGCCCGUCACACCAUGAGAGUUGGCAAUACCCGAAGUCCGUGAGCUAACCGCAAGGAGGCAGCGGCCGAAGGUAGGGUCAGCGAUUGG